AUGUUCUCAAUAACUUCUCAACCCUUUUGUACUUCUGGGGUCCUGUUAUUUUAUCUCUGCAAGAAGGGCUUUCUCCAUAUAGUUUCAGAAAAUAGAGGCAUCCUCUCUCAGUUUCCAGAUGCAAAAAGCAGAAUGGAAGAUCUGGAGAAAAAUAAAAAAUCCAUGAAAGAUUUUGAUUGUUUUCUACCCACUAGCAUUUUCAAAUUAAAGUACAUAGAAUGGAAAUUUUCAUUAGUCACAGUUUCUGGAGAAAUGGUUAUUAAUAAAUCCCCCAAACUGGAACAACAACAACAAAACAACCAACAGAAGCCAUUUCAUACAAAUAAAAUCAAGUCUAUACAAGGAGCUGGGUCUGUAAAAGCAGAGGGAAGCCUAACAGAGCAUGCCUUUGACGACAAGUUCUGGUCAUUAAUUGCUGAUGCUGUCAAACUCUGGGAAGUGUUGGCACCCAACCCUGAGCCCCAAUGCCAGGGAGUAGGUCUAGGCUGGAUCAGCUGCGUUUGUUUGAGAAUUGAUCUACUGGGUCUGGAGCUGAACAAAGACAAUAACAGACCAUGGUUAAACUACCAAAGUGUUGUCACAUCGCUUGUCCCAGCCCCAUCUUCCCUUCCUGCCACCUUCAGUACCUUGCAGGCAUAUUCUGACAUCUCUGCUCUCCAUCCUCCAGCUCUUCACAUCUCCUGCUCUGUUUUGGCUUUUCCAAGGCUUCAUGCACCUCUCCUGCCUCAGUUUCCUCUACUACUCCACCCUGCCCAAUGUGCCAGUGUGCUCCCCUCUCUGCCACAAGACACACUAACUCCUGCAGGCUGCUCUCCUUUCUUUGCCCUACUCCCCAGCUCUCUCCCUGCCACAGCUAAUGCCUGUACGCUGAGUCCUGUCCUCUCUCCCACCCCUUACCUUCCCCCAAUGGACUGUGCCUUUGGAAGGCAGCAGAUUUUUCUCCCCCAGAUAUGUGUAUGGGCUCACUGGCCCUGCGUACCUUUUGCUGGUGAUGGUACAAGCCAGAGCACGUGUGCAUGCUCUGCUCUCACACUUCAGUUGCUGGACACAUGUUGA
rnacentral:lncRNA from 1 species